rnacentral:tRNA from 2 species
GCCCCCGUGGCGGAAUUGGUAGACGCGACGGAUUCAAAAUCCGUUGACCUAACGGUCGUGCCAGUUCGAUUCUGGCCGGGGGCACCA